rnacentral:rRNA from 1 species
UACGUAGGGGGCAAGCGUUGUCCGGAUUUAUUGGGCGUAAAAGGCUUGUAGGUGGCCACGCCAAGUCGGAUGUGAAAUCUCCCGGCUCAACUGGGAGGGGUCAUUCGAUACUGCCGGGCUAGAGUCCGGAAGAGGCGAGUGGAACUCCUGGUGUAGCGGUGGAAUGCGCAGAUAUCAGGAAGAACACCGACGGCGAAGGCAGCUCGCUGGGACGGUACUGACGCUGAGAAGCGAAAGCAUGGGGAGCGAACAGG